GCGCGCUUAGUUCAUCGGUAGAACGCUUUCCUGAUAAGAAAGAGGUGCAUGGUCCGACUCCAUGAGCGCGCA
rfam:Microgenomates (Gottesmanbacteria) bacterium GW2011_GWB1_43_11 TV61_C0003, whole genome shotgun sequence.